UACGAAGGGAGCUAGCGUUGUUCGGAAUCACUGGGCGUAAAGCGCACGUAGGCGGAUGUGUCAGUCAGGGGUGAAAUCCCGGAGCUCAACUUCGGAACUGCCUCUGAUACAGCACGUCUUGAGUCCGAUAGAGGUGGGUGGAAUUCCUAGUGUAGAGGUGAAAUUCGUAGAUAUUAGGAAGAACACCGGUGGCGAAGGCGGCCCACUGGAUCGGUACUGACGCUGAGGCGCGAAAGCGUGGGUAGCAAACGGG
rnacentral:rRNA from 1 species